AGCUCAACGAACCACAUGCCAUCUCCGCCUGGUUCACGCCGCCGUCCCGCGUACGAUUGGAAAAAGCCCCACCCUGCUUUCAAACCCUACCCACCGUCAACGGAACGCGCCGCGCCGCCUACCCCUGCUUUCCUGCCUCUAUAUACAAAGGCUGGGUGCGACGAAAAAGCAUCCUCUUUGCUUUUGCUAGUUGGCUUGUUCGCAGAUCGCUUCGUAGGAGGAAAUCCGAAGCCAACACCAACCGAGCAAUGGCCACCGGUGCUUCAGCCAACAUGUGGAGGAGAUGGCUCCGGCCCGAGGCGUACCCGAUCUUCGCGACCACCGGCGUGGCCGUCGGGAUCUGCGUGAUGCAGCUCGUGCGCAACAUCACCACCAACCCUGAAGUCAGGGUGACCAAGGAGAACAGAGCGGCCGGGGUGCUGGACAACCACGCCGAGGGGGAGAGGUACUCGCGCCACGGAUUCAGGAAGUUCAUCGACGGGAGGUCCAGGGAGAUCAUGCCGGCUCUCAACAGCUUCUUCACUGACCCACCAAAGUAUUAAGGGGCAGCCCUGCUCUCUACAGACUGGAAUUCAUUCCCAGGAUUUUCCUUCUACAGAAAGAAUUUACCAUUAUUUCCCCCCAAUUUGGGUGUCAAUCGCAUCGCCAUGAUUGUCUGGCUGUAUAAUAAUAAUUUUUGAUCGCAUACAAAUAUUGAUCUGAAUUAUCUAGAAGAAAUCAUAACAGUUUGCCAUGGAUUUUCGUUUCGGUUUUGGUCUGCUCUGAAUCUGUGGUCAAUAAUGUAGCUCUGGUUUUACUUUCGAACUAUGUAUGAAUGCAAUGUUUUGGUUAUCUUUUUU